rnacentral:misc_RNA from 1 species
UUGCAGCAGCCCGACUUGAGUGGAGCUCUUUUUCUUUUUUUAUAUAAAAAAAAGAAAAAAGCGGGAACGGAAGGCGGAUAUAGCU